rnacentral:rRNA from 1 species
AUCACCUUUAGAUGCGAUUUUGUGGAGUGUGAGGAGCUAAUCGCCUUCAUGCCUGUAUAUUCGUGUACUUGGGGUGUACUUAUUCGUGAGGUAAGUUAACAUCAAUUUUGGUGGUCAUAAAAUGACUGGAGGAAUGUAGCUUCGAUCUCGUAUUGAAGUGUUAUAGCCUUCGGUAGAUGUGAUGAUCGAGAUUGAGGAUUGCAACGGAUACCCUUCGGGGCUACCUGUCUGGUCUCUGAUCGUUGCUCUGGUGCCGAAAGCUUGCUUACGGUUAUCAAAGUCGAUGGUCAAUAGGUUAGAACGGGUUAAA